rnacentral:rRNA from 1 species
UACAGAGGGGGCAAGCGUUGUUCGGAAUUACUGGGCGUAAAGGGCGCGUAGGCGGCCUUCUAAGUCGAACGUGAAAUCCCUGGGCUCAACCCAGGAACUGCGUCCGAUACUGGAAGGCUUGAAUCCGGGAGAGGGAUGUGGAAUUCCUGGUGUAGCGGUGAAAUGCGCAGAUAUCAGGAAGAACACCUAUGGCGAAGGCAGCUCUCUGGGACGGUACUGACGCUGAGACGCGAAAGCGUGGGGAGCGAACAGG